rnacentral:tRNA from 6 species
CGCGGGAUAGAGUAGAGGUUAUCUCGUUGGGCUCAUAACCCAAAGAUCGGAGGUUCGAAUCCUUCUCCCGCUA